CAGUCGCCGCGGGAAUACAGAGGAUGCAAGCGUUAUCCGGAAUGAUUGGGCGUAAAGCGUCUGUAGGUGGCUUUUUAAGUCCGCCGUCAAAUCCCAGGGCUCAACCCUGGACAGGCGGUGGAAACUACCAAGCUGGAGUACGGUAGGGGCAGAGGGAAUUUCCGGUGGAGCGGUGAAAUGCGUCGAGAUCGGAAAGAACACCAACGGCGAGAGCACUCUGCUGGGCCGACACUGACACUGAGAGACGAAAGCUAGGGGAGCAAAUGGGAUUAGAUACCCCCGUAGUCCCUGUCUCUUAUAC
rnacentral:rRNA from 1 species